AAUUUUGUAAUUAUUACCCAAGAUGUUAGAGAUGCCAGAGUCACGGGAUACCGCCAAGGAGAACUACUAACAGGGAGUGGAACCAGUCCAAGAGAAAGAAGUGUGUUGCAGUCAACAAAGCUCAACAGAAUUGAAGGUGUGGAGAGCAUUUUGACAUCAGAUGUGGAGAUGCAGAGUUUGGAGUUUGACCAGCUGGUUUUCUGUCUUGCUUUGGUCCAGUAUUUCUUCGUUAUGUUCCAUUCCCUGUGUUUUCAAAUGGUUCCUAAGAGUAAGAUUUUGGAGUCUACUAAAAUAGCAAUAGAUAUUGGGUUCCGCCAUAUUGAUUCUGCUUAUGUGUACCAAAAUGAAAAGGAGACAGGACAGGCUAUUCGAAGAAAGAUUGCAGAUGGUGUUGUGAAGAGAGAAGACAUAUUCCUCACUACAAAGCUUUGGUCUACAUUCCAUCGACCAGAACUGGUCAAAGUUGGCUUAGAAAGAUCACUGAAAAACUUCCAACUAGAUUAUGUUGACCUCUAUCUUAUUCAUUACCCAAUGUCAAUUAAGCCAUCAGAGGAGAUAUAUACAAUAAAUGAAAAUGGAAAAAUAUUAUUUGAGACAGUAGAUCUCUGUGCUACCUGGGAGGCCAUGGAGAAGUGUAAGGAUGCAGGACUUGUCAAGUCCAUCGGGGUGUCCAACUUUAACCGCAGGCUGUUAGAGAUGAUCCUGAACAAGCCAGGGCUCAAGUACAAGCCUGUGUGCAACCAGGUAGAAUGUCAUCCUUAUCUGAACCAGAGCAAGCUAUUGGAUUUCUGCAAGUCAAAAGAUAUUGUUCUGGUUGCCUAUGGAGCCCUGGGAUCUCAGCGUCCUGAAACCUGGGUAGACCAGAAUGCCCCAUUUCUUUUGAAUGAUCCAGUUCUUUGUGCCAUGGCCAAAAAGCACAAUCGAAGUCCAGCACAGAUUGCCCUUUGCUACCAGGUGCAGCGUGGGGUCAUUGCCUUGGCUCAUAGUUAUGAAGAGAAUGAGAUGAAAGAGAACAUUCAGGUACUUGAAUUCCACUUGCCUCCAGAGGAUAUGGAAGUCUUAGAUGGCCUGAACAGAAAUUUCAGAUAUUUUCCGGUGAAUUUAGACCCACAAUGGAUCUUUUGGUGAGUUUCAGAGACAAAAAGGUUUCCAUGAAGAGGCUAAAAGUUUUGAACACGAUCCUAACUGUAUGUUACAAACAGGAGCAAUGCUGUUGGACACCCCAAUUUUCCAUUUUCUGAUGAAUAUUAACAUGAUACCCUUUAUCAUGGCUUCUACCUGAAGCUCCUAAAUGUGGAUAAUGAUGCUGCUGCUCAUGAUUGAGGUGAUGCUAAUGAGACCCACCACUUCUGGUUGAUCCAUACUACUUAGCAACUCACAGGCAACUGGAACCACAUUCAACAUCCUGGAAGAAAGACACUAAAGUUUUAAUCACUUAUUGAAAUAAAUAUGAUGUUCUUUUCCCUGAAGAA